GCGGGCGUGGUGGAACUGGUAGACGCGCCGGACUCAAAAUCCGGUUCUAGUGAUAGAGUGUCGGUUCGAUUCCGACCGCCCGCACCA
rnacentral:tRNA from 1 species